AUCCAGUUGACGAGUCCCAAAUAGGACUAAACGUGCCUUGUCCUGGAU
rnacentral:hammerhead_ribozyme from 1 species